rnacentral:rRNA from 1 species
AGGACGACGCUGGCGGCGUGCCUAACACAUGCAAGUCGAGCGGGGUUGAAGCGAGGGGUAACUCGAGUUCUACCUAGCGGCGGACGGGUGAGUAACGCGUGGGCAACCUGCCUCAAGGACUGGGAUAACAGCUCGAAAGGGCUGCUAAUACCGGAUAAGCCUAUGGCCUCGCAUGGGGCCAUGAGCAAAGGGGAAACCCGCCUUGAGAUGGGCCCGCGUCCCAUCAGCUAGUUGGUGAGGUGAAGGCUCACCAAGGCGACGACGGGUAGCCGGCCUGAGAGGGUGACCGGCCACACUGGGACUGAGACACGGCCCAGACUCCUACGGGGGGCAGCAGUGGGGAAUCUUGCACAAUGGGCGAAAGCCUGAUGCAGCGACGCCGCGUGAGCGAAGAAGGCCUUCGGGUUGUAAAGCUCUGUCUGGAGGGACGAAGGAAGUGACGGUACCUCCGGAGGAAGCCACGGCUAACUACGUG